CCCUUAGAUGUUCUGGGCUGCACGCGCGCUACACUGACGCACGCAACAGGUGCCUGCUCCGAGAGGACUGGGUAAUCAUUUGAGUGUGCGUCGUGAUGGGGAUAGAAUAUUGUAAUUAUUACUCUUCAACGAGGAAUUCCUAAUAAGCGCCAGUCAGCAGCUUGCGCUGAUUACGUCCCUGCCCUUUGUACACACCGCCCGUCGCUCCUACCGAUGGGUGAUCCGGUGAAUGAUUCGGACUUCAGCGGCUCCCCUGGGGUGCGCCGGAGAAAGUUUUGUGAACCUUAUCACUUGGAGGAAGGAGAAGUCGUAACA
rnacentral:rRNA from 1 species